rnacentral:rRNA from 1 species
UGGGGGAUAUUGCACAAUGGGGGGAACCCUGAUGCAGCGACGCCGCGUGGGUGAAGGAGUGCUUCGGCAUGUAAAGCCCUAUCGGCAGGGAAGAAUAUGACGGUACCUGACUAAGAAGCCCCGGCUAACUACGUGCCAGCAGCCGCGGUAAUACGUAGGGGGCGAGCGUUAUCCGGAUUCACUGGGUGUAAAGGGAGCGUAGACGGCCAAGCAAGCCAGGGGUGAAAGCCCGGGGCCCAACCCCGGGACUGCCCUUGGAACUGCAUGGCUGGAGUGCGGGAGGGGCAGGCGGAAUUCCUGGUG